CGUUUCCUUCCUCGAGAAGACAGAGAGAGGACGCACGCCACCUCCUCCCCACCUUCGCCAGAUACGACCGCCCAUUCAUCACCGCCACCCAUCGCGUCGCCCGCCCCCGCCCGCAACCUUCUCUCGUCUUCCACCCAUCCUCGCCGCGCCAUCGCACUCCCGCAAUCCUGUUAGCCUCUCUCCCUGACAUGGCUUCACUUCCCGGUGCGAAACCCUAGCGGCGGCAGCGGCGGCGGCGGCGGAUUGGUGUGGGAGGUGGUAGUGGAGACGGCGGCCUCAGGCAGGGGCAUACUAUAGGUGGCUCGACAGUCGCCUGGCAGGCUGUAUAGGCAGCGGAGGUGGAGGUCGUGCGAGGCGGCUCUUCCGCCGAUCCGUUCGUUCGAGUCCUUGGUUGCUGCGUUGACUUUCCUGGCUGCCGCCAUGCUAGCAAGCACGACCAUUGCGACGUCUUCUCUGGUGCUACCGGCAAGCAGCCGACCACAGCACUGCCAUGCCUCUGAUGCUCCAUGGUAGCCGGCCCUGCAUCUCCACUCAGGUACAGCUCGCCACUCCCCUCUCUCCUCUGGUAUGGAACAGUUGGACUGCAAAUAAUGUACAGAUUUGUGAGAUGAUGCUUGUGCUAUCUUGUUCACGUUCUGAUGAGGGAGAAAGGAAAAUGCUGUAGCCAAUGGAUGUUUAGUGGGACUACGUUCUGAUUUGACAAAGCUAAAGGAAGCAUAUAUCACAAAUUUCUAUCGGUGUCACCCUUUCUGUUACAGUUGGUUUUGCAGCCUGAUAUGUGGUUAAGAAGCUAUUGUGGAGAGGUGAAGUUAGCAGGGCUGAUGGUGGAAGCUUCCGGGUUUACUGGAGAUAUGGCAGAGUGUUACUCAAAGAAAUACACCUGGCUUGAAAUGGACUAUGGUAGAAGUGACAAGGAGACGAAGGAAGACUUUUGUUGUCAAUCAGAUAAAAGAGGCAAAGCUGGAGACUCCGAUAUUAGCAUGAUGAAGCAACAAAUGAUGGAAAUAGGUAAGUUUCUUGAUUACCGCUGCUCUUUGAACUGGUCUGAGCAUCAUAGCUGGAAGAUCCUAUAAUGUGUGCCAAAACUGUGGCGAUUAAUUCUAUGAGACAAUUUGAGAGUGAAACAAGGGACUGAAUACAUGGCCAGAGAGGCAAAUACGUACGGUCUGCUUAGAUUUAGGUGUUAGACUAACUCCUUUGAAAGUAUCUUUUGAUUGUUCAAUGUUCUCUUGGGGGUUGUACUUUUAUUCUUUAAGUAUAUUCCUGUUGAUUAUUCAUGUAGCAUUUGCUUUUACUAAUCCGUUUAUAUUUGGCUGCUACAAGAUUACUUGUGGAAGAAUAUCAGUAGCAUGCACUAUAUAUGUAUGCAGAACAGACCAUAGUCAUGAUUUUAUAUUGCUCGGAGUCUCGGACCAAGAUUUGUAUGCACCGAUCAUUGUUUCAGUCUUUAGGGGUUACAGGGAAAUGACAUAUAUUAGCCAGUGCUACCACUAAUAGUGCAAUUGUAUAUUUGAUGAAAGGAAGCAGGUUAACCACUCAGUAUUAGAGUAACAUGCUACAUGUAGAAGUACCAUCUAAAAAGGAAAGAUACAUUACUUCGUGAAAAAUCUUGGUAGAUAAAUAGUGAAGACUUUUGGCAGUGGAUUGUGUAUAAUACCACGACACUGCUAUAUCUGUCAAAACCUGACCUACAUAUAGUAGUUACUAAAUGAAAAUUUUGGAUGAAAAUUUUGGAUGAAAAUACUACUGCAUAAUGAUUCUGUUAGCAAAGCUUCAUCCUCCGAUGAAUAUGAGAUGCAUUCUUUAGACCCUUUAAUUUCCAUGAGAAGAAUGUGAUCUUAUGACUUGCUUGUUCAUUCUCCCUUUAUGCUAAAUUUAUUUCUUUCCAGAAGGCAUACUACUCUGCUUGUGCUUCCUUUGUGCUCUCUUAUCAGAUAGUAUGUCAUUUUUAUUUUCCUUAUGUUUUAUAUUAUAGCUUGUGCCGUCUUUUCCAAUUUAUAAGCACUAUUUCGCUAGUUAAUAAAUAGUUUAAAUAAUGAGCACUACAGUGGAGAGGUUUGUGUGACAGUCCAAGGAAGUCUCUAGCAGAAUGCAGUUUUCUGGGACCAGCUUUUUAACCGUGGACUUUCCAUGGAAGAUGGAUACAUACAUCUGCCUUAUUCGGGCUAUGACGUUUUAAAAAGGAUCUCUAAUACUAUUUCAAAGGCAGACAGUGACGGAAAAACGUUCCAUGAUUUCAACUAGCCUGCAGAGGACGAUUUAUCUAUGUGUUGCCGUUCACUCUCACCCUCCCAUGGAGAUGUCGCCGACAAUGCUGCCAUACAUGUCCCUGCAAUCGUCACCCCCAUCCUCAUGUCUAGAGGUGCUGGUAACUGCUAUUAUUGUUGGAACCAUUGGCUAUUUAUACAUAGAUGGAAGGUAAACAUUUAUCUCCCUGUCAACUUGCUCCGAGAGGAGAUGUCGAGGAUGACGAGCAAGUUGGCAUCCGUGAAGCUUCGCCGGAGCCAUUCCUACUCUUCUAGAGCCACAAGGAGAGCCUUGGCAGGCUGUACGAGUGGGAGAAGAAGCUCUAUGAGGAAGUCAGGAUGGUGCCCAUCGACACUGCUACCUUCCGAAGGUUGCCAUGCUAUGGAUUGACAACCAUGGGCGUGUUUCUUCCAUGCGCUGUAGAGCAGGUGGACGAGGAGAAGGGGCCAGCCCGAGCUGGACGACGGAGUGUCUUCGGAGGCGGAGGAGAGGACCAACAAUAGCAGCGACACGGUGGUGUCUAGCAGGAUCAAUAAGCUGACCCGCAGGGCUUGGCAAGGCCGUGAGACAUGGCCGCAGCAAUGGAGCACGUCUUUGGAAAAACGAACACGUCAGGCCAAUAAUAUAGACCUAUUAGCAUAUAUGCAUGAGACAGUACCGUGGCCUGCUCUGCUUUAUAAAUGAAAACUCUUCUGCUGCAGUUCUAUUUUA